UACGUAGGGUGCGAGCGUUAAUCGGAAUUACUGGGCGUAAAGCGUGCGCAGGCGGUUUUGUAAGCCAGAUGUGAAAUCCCCGGGCUUAACCUGGGAAUGGCAUUUGGGACUGCAAGGCUCGAGUGCGGCAGAGGAGACUGGAAUUCCUGGUGUAGCAGUGAAAUGCGUAGAUAUCAGGAGGAAUACCGAUGGCGAAGGCAGGUCUCUGGGCUGACACUGACGCUCAUGCACGAAGCGUGGGAGCAACAGG
rnacentral:rRNA from 1 species